GUGUUUGAGAAGAUCCUGAAGAGCAAGAAGCUGCCACCAGCAAAGCAGAUUCUGGACUCUCUGGGACUGGGUCCCUUAGGGCCUCCCAUUCCCCCUGGCUCUCUUUUCUCUGUGGUCCCCUACCCA